rnacentral:rRNA from 1 species
CUACGGGCGGCUGCAGUGGGGAAUAUUGGACAAUGGGGGAAACCCUGAUGCAGCAACGCCGCGUGGAGGAUGACGCAUUUCGGUGUGUAAACUCCUUUUAUAUGUCAAGAAAAUGACGGUAGCAUAUGAAUAAGCACCGGCUAACUCCGUGCCAGCAGCCGCGGUAAUACGGAGGGUGCAAGCGUUACUCGGAAUCACUGGGCGUAAAGGACGCGUAGGCGGGUUGGAAAGUCAGGUGUGAAAUCCCACAGCUUAACUGUAGAACUGCACUUGAAACUUCUAAUCUAGAGUAUGGGAGGGGGAGAUGGAAUUAGUGGUGUAGGGGUAAAAUCCGUAGAUAUCACUAGGAAUACCUAAAGCGAAGGCGAUCUCCUGGAACAUUACUGACGCUAAGGCGUGAAAGCGUGGGGAGCAAACAGGAUUAGAUACCCCCGUAGUC